rnacentral:rRNA from 1 species
AGACAGCCAGGAUGUUGGCUUAGAAGCAGCCAUCAUUUAAAGAAAGCGUAAUAGCUCACUGGUCGAGUCGGCCUGCGCGGAAGAUGUAACGGGGCUAAACCAUGCACCGAAGCUGCGGCAGCGACACUCAGGUGUUGUUGGGUAGGGGAGCGUUCUGUAAGCCUGCGAAGGUGGCCUGUGAGGGUUGCUGGAGGUAUCAGAAGUGCGAAUGCUGACAUAAGUAACGAUAAAGCGGGUGAAAAGCCCGCUCGCCGGAAGACCAAGGGUUCCUGUCCAACGUUAAUCGGGGCAGGGUGAGUCGACCCCUAAGGCGAGGCCGAAAGGCGUAGUCGAUGGGAAACGGGUUAAUAUUCCCGUACUUGGUGUUACUGCGAAGGGGGGACGGAGAAGGCUAUGUUGGCCGGGCGACGGUUGUCCCGGUUUAAGCGUGUAGGUGUGUGUUCCAGGUAAAUCCGGUUCACUUUAACACUGAGGCGUGAUGACGAGGCACUACGGUGCUGAAGCAACAAAUGCCCUGCUUCCAGGAAAAGCCUCUAAGCAUCAGGUAACAUCAAAUCGUACCCCAAACCGACACAGGUGGUCAGGUAGAGAAUACCAAGGCGCUUGAGAGAACUCGGGUGAAGGAACUAGGCAAAAUGGUGCCGUAACUUCGGGAGAAGGCACGCUGACACGUAGGUGAAGUGAUUUACUCAUGGAGCUGAAGUCAGUCGAAGAUACCAGCUGGCUGCAACUGUUUAUUAAAAACACAGCACUGUGCAAACACGAAAGUGGACGUAUACGGUGUGACGCCUGCCCGGUGCCGGAAGGUUAAUUGAUGGGGUCAGCGCAAGCGAAGCUCCUGAUCGAAGCCCCGGUAAACGGCGGCCGUAACUAUAACGGUCCUAAGGUAGCGAAAUUCCUUGUCGGGUAAGUUCCGACCUGCACGAAUGGCGUAAUGAUGGCCAGGCUGUCUCCACCCGAGACUCAGUGAAAUUGAACUCGCUGUGAAGAUGCAGUGUACCCGCGGCAAGACGGAAAGACCCCGUGAACCUUUACUAUAGCUUGACACUGAACAUUGAGCCUUGAUGUGUAGGAUAGGUGGGAGGCUUUGAAGUGUGGACGCCAGUCUGCAUGGAGCCGGCCUUGAAAUACCACCCUUUAAUGUUUGAUGUUCUAACGUGGACCCGUGAUCCGGGUUGCGGACAGUGUCUGGUGGGUAGUUUGACUGGGGCGGUCUCCUCCUAAAGAGUAACGGAGGAGCACGAAGGUUGGCUAAUCCUGGUCGGACAUCAGGAGGUUAGUGCAAUGGCAUAAGCCAGCUUGACUGCGAGCGUGACGGCGCGAGCAGGUGCGAAAGCAGGUCAUAGUGAUCCGGUGGUUCUGAAUGGAAGGGCCAUCGCUCAACGGAUAAAAGGUACUCCGGGGAUAACAGGCUGAUACCGCCCAAGAGUUCAUAUCGACGGCGGUGUUUGGCACCUCGAUGUCGGCUCAUCACAUCCUGGGGCUGAAGUAGGUCCCAAGGGUAUGGCUGUUCGCCAUUUAAAGUGGUACGCGAGCUGGGUUUAGAACGUCGUGAGACAGUUCGGUCCCUAUCUGCCGUGGGCGCUGGAGAACUGAGGGGGGCUGCUCCUAGUACGAGAGGACCGGAGUGGACGCAUCACUGGUGUUCGGGUUGUCAUGCCAAUGGCACUGCCCGGUAGCUAAAUGCGGAAGAGAUAAGUGCUGAAAGCAUCUAAGCACGAAACUUGCCCCGAGAUGAGUUCUCCCUGAGACUUUAGGUCUCCUGAAGGAACGUUGAAGACGACGACGUUGAUAGGCCGGGUGUGUAAGCGCAGCGAUGCGUUGAGCUAACCGGUACUAAUGAACCGUGAGGCUUAACCUUACA